GAUGAAGAACGUAGCAAAAUGCGAUAAGUAAUGUGAAUUGCAGAAUUCAGUGAAUCAUCGAAUCUUUGAACGCACAUUGCGCCCGCCAGUAUUCUGGCUGGCAUGCCUGUUCGAGCGUCAUUACAACCCUCAGGCCCCCGGGCCUGGCGUUGGGGAUCGGCGGAGCCCCCCGUGGGCACACGCCGUCCCCCAAAUGCAGUGGCGGUCCCGCCGCAGCUUCCAUCGCGUAGUAGCUAACACCUCGCGACUGGAGAGCGGCGCGGCCACGCCGUAAAACACCCAACUCUUCUGAAGUUGACCUCGAAUCAGGUAGGAAUACCCGCUGAACUUAAGCAUAUCAAUAAGCGGAGGA
rnacentral:misc_RNA from 1 species